rnacentral:rRNA from 1 species
CGCGAGUAUUCAGAGUUUGAUCCUGGCUCAGAUUGAACGCUGGCGGCAUGCCUUACACAUGCAAGUCGAACGGUAACAGGUCUUCGGAUGCUGACGAGUGGCGAACGGGUGAGUAAUACAUCGGAACGUGCCCAGACGUGGGGGAUAACGAGGCGAAAGCUUUGCUAAUACCGCAUACGAUCUAAGGAUGAAAGCAGGGGACCGCAAGGCCUUACGCGUUUGGAGCGGCCGAUGGCAGAUUAGGUAGUUGGUGGGAUAAAAGCUUACCAAGCCGACGAUCUGUAGCUGGUCUGAGAGGACGACCAGCCACACUGGGACUGAGACACGGCCCAG